rnacentral:pre_miRNA from 1 species
CGAGACGGGCGGAUCACGAGGUCAGGAGAUCCGGCCCAUCCCGGCUAACCCAGUGAAACCCCNUGUUAGCCAGGAUGGUCUCGAUCUCCUGACCUUGUGAUCCGCCCAUCUCG